CCUGCAUGUAUUGACAAGCUGAAGGGUACAGAACCAGCAAAACAGCAUCAGAAACCAAAGAGCCAUGUUGACUGACAAGAAUCACAGAGGAGCUGGAGCCAGUCCCAGUUAACUUUGGGCAAGAGGCAGGGUACACCCUGGGCAGGUUGCCAAUCUGUUACAAGGCUAACACACAGACGAACAACCAUUCACACCUAUGGGCAAUUGACCUAACUCACACGUUUUUGGAUUGUGGGAGGAAACCAGAGCACCCAGAAGAAACCCACACAGAGAGAAGCCAGUAUCCAGAGAAAGAGAGAAAGCUUAGCACACCAGCAUGACGUGUGCAUGGAAAUUAAAAUAAAGUUGCUGAAAAGUGUCAAUUAAGUGAAAUAAAAUGUGCCUUGUGUUAGCUGUCUCCCAGCUCCUCAUUUCUCAAGAGCCAUGAGAGUGUCACUGGACCUGAAACCCAGGAUUUGAGUAAAAAAGGCCAUCAUGGAGUCCAUGCCCAUCAUCAAACUCUUCCAGACCCUCAUCAGUGUUUACCAAAACCAAUACCAAAAUUCACCCUUGUCACCCUGGGUGAAGAACAGGAGCAGCAUUUCCAGGCUCUACUCCAGGUCCAGGUGAUCCAACCAAUUAGUACUCCAGCCAAUGCUCCUGUGGAUGCUCCAGUCCCAGCCCACAUUGUACUGGGCAAGAUAGGUCUGCAAGAAGACCCUGAGGGCUUUGUGGAGCUAUUUGAGCAUGUUGCUAAAGAGAGCUUGUGGCCAAUCUUACCAGGGUGUCUUCCCUCACCCCUUUGAUCCUCUGUGCCAAUGCUGCUACUGAGUCCCUCUCUCUCCACAGGUGGAACCAUACAUGCUCACCAGGACCAGAACAAAGCCCAGGCAGGUCUGCAGGCAUAGUGGGAAAGCCAGACACUUCCAAGAUCAGCAUCCUCUUAAGGAGGUGGAAAUACUGCUCUGCAUUCCUGAUGUGCCUCAAACCUCCCCUGAUUGAGCAGGAGUGUACAGCCUUGGUGGACAUGGGGUGUAAACAAUGGAUGUGUAAAUGGGGAUGUUCACAAGUAUCUGCUGGUGCCUGUCACUCUUCAAUUUAAGGGAGAAAAAAGUAGAGGUGGUGGUUAAUCCUCACCUCACCUAUCCACUAAUUGUGGGUACCAAUUGGCUGGGGUUUCAAUCAUUAGUAAAGCAUUUGUUUGUGGAUGGGUCCUGCUGCAGUGAGACUCACAGUGAUUCCAGUGUCAUGUUAUCAGGGAGGUGGUCCCAGGCCCAUUUGCAUCAGCGCCACAUCAGGGGGUGCAGAGAUUGAGGAGGACUCCAGCCCUCCAGUUUCCAGAGGGAUUUACCUUUGAAAUUUCCCACUGGCUCAAGCAUGA